AUUGAACGCUGGCGGCAUGCUUAAUACAUGCAAGUCGAACGAGUGGCGGACGGGUGAGUAAUGCUUGGGCAUCUAGCUUAUCGAGCGGGAUAACUACGGGAAACCUUAGCUAAUACUGCUUACGAUACGAUGGGCCCACGUGGGAUUAGGUAGUUGGUGUGGUAAAGGCUCACCAAGCCGAAGAUCUCUAGCUGGUCUGAGAGGCUGACCGGCCACACUGGGACUGAGACACGGCCCAGACUCCUACGGGAGGCAGCAGUGGGGAAUAUUGCGCAAUGGGGGCAACCUGACGCAGCCAUGCCGCGUGAAUGAAGAAGGCCUUCGGGUUGUAAAGUUCUUUCGGUAGCGAGGCGUUAACUACAGAAGAAGCACCGGCUAACUCCGUGCCAGCAGCCGCGGUAAUUC
rnacentral:rRNA from 1 species